rnacentral:lncRNA from 1 species
GUCCUGACAGCUCUGACUCUUCAGGGAACCUUGGAUGUUCAUGAAAACACUCCUGUUGUGAGGCCCUAAAGAACUCCUCCUAGAAAAGUGCAACCAAAGAAUAACCAAAAAUGAUGAUAAUUCAAUGUGAUGUAAGCAAUGCCACAGUUGAAGACUGCUCUCCAGAAGAGACCAAAAUCACAGCAGUGUUUGCUAACAAGGCUAUAACUUCACAUGAUUGGCACUGUAGUUUUGAGGAAAUUUCAACAUGUUGGUCAUUUCACAAGAAAUUGCAAGUAGUUUUGUUAGGUAAAUGUUGAUCAUUUGACAGAAGUUAGAUAGCAAUAUCUAUUCAGUAUUCAGUGUUGCACUAGAGAAGACAUUUAUGCUAUAAUAAAACAAUGUAAUUCUGAUAACCA